rnacentral:rRNA from 1 species
AACGAACGCUGGCGGCAUGCCUAACACAUGCAAGUCGAACGAAGCCUUCGGGCUUAGUGGCGCACGGGUGCGUAACGCGUGGGAAUCUGCCCUUGGGUUCGGAAUAACAGUUAGAAAUGACUGCUAAUACCGGAUGAUGACGUAAGUCCAAAGAUUUAUCGCCCAGGGAUGAGCCGCGUAGGAUUAGGUAGUUGGGGGGGUAAAGGCUCACCAAGCCGACGAUCCUUAGCUGGUCCGAGAGGAUGAUCAGCCACACUGGGACUGAGACACGGCCCAGACUCCUACGGGAGGCAGCAGUGGGGAAUAUUGGACAAUGGGCGCAAGCCUGAUCCAGCAAUGCCGCGUGAGUGAUGAAGGCCUUAGGGUUGUAAAGCUCUUUUACCAGGGAUGAUAAUGACAGUACCUGGAGAAUAAGCUCCGGCUAACUCCGUGCCAGCAGCCGCGGUAA